rnacentral:rRNA from 1 species
GGGUUGUGAGGUUAAGCGACUAAGCGUACACGGUGGAUGCCCUGGCAGUCAGAGGCGAUGAAGGACGUGCUAAUCUGCGAUAAGCGUCGGUAAGGUGAUAUGAACCGUUAUAACCGGCGAUUUCCGAAUGGGGAAACCCAGUGUGAUUCGUCACACUAUCAUUAACUGAAUCCAUAGGUUAAUGAGGCGAACCGGGGGAACUGAAACAUCUAAGUACCCCGAGGAAAAGAAAUCAACCGAGAUUCCCCCAGUAGCGGCGAGCGAACGGGGAGCAGCCCAGAGCCUGAAUCAGUGUGUGUGUUAGUGGAAGCGUCUGGAAAGGCGCGCGAUACAGGGUGACAGCCCCGUACACAAAAAUGCACAUGCUGUGAGCUCGAUGAGUAGGGCGGGACACGUGGUAUCCUGUCUGAAUAUGGGGGGACCAUCCUCCAAGGCUAAAUACUCCUGACUGACCGAUAGUGAACCAGUACCGUGAGGGAAAGGCGAAAAGAACCCCGGCGAGGGGAGUGAAAAAGAACCUGAAACCGUGUACGUACAAGCAGUGGGAGCACGCUUAGGCGUGUGACUGCGUACCUUUUGUAUAAUGGGUCAGCGACUUAUAUUCUGUAGCAAGGUUAACCGAAUAGGGGAGCCGAAGGGAAACCGAGUCUUAACUGGGCGUUAAGUUGCAGGGUAUAGACCCGAAACCCGGUGAUCUAGCCAUGGGCAGGUUGAAGGUUGGGUAACACUAACUGGAGGACCGAACCGACUAAUGUUGAAAAAUUAGCGGAUGACUUGUGGCUGGGGGUGAAAGGCCAAUCAAACCGGGAGAUAGCUGGUUCUCCCCGAAAGCUAUUUAGGUAGCGCCUCGUGAAUUCAUCUCCGGGGGUAGAGCACUGUUUCGGCAAGGGGGUCAUCCCGACUUACCAACCCGAUGCAAACUGCGAAUACCGGAGAAUGUUAUCACGGGAGACACACGGCGGGUGCUAACGUCCGUCGUGAAGAGGGAAACAACCCAGACCGCCAGCUAAGGUCCCAAAGUCAUGGUUAAGUGGGAAACGAUGUGGGAAGGCCCAGACAGCCAGGAUGUUGGCUUAGAAGCAGCCAUCAUUUAAAGAAAGCGUAAUAGCUCACUGGUCGAGUCGGCCUGCGCGGAAGAUGUAACGGGGCUAAACCAUGCGCCGAAGCUGCGGCAGCGACACUAUGUGUUGUUGGGUAGGGGAGCGUUCUGUAAGCCUGUGAAGGUGUACUGUGAGGUAUGCUGGAGGUAUCAGAAGUGCGAAUGCUGACAUAAGUAACGAUAAAGCGGAUGAAAAGCCCGCUCGCCGGAAGACCAAGGGUUCCUGUCCAACGUUAAUCGGGGCAGGGUGAGUCGACCCCUAAGGCGAGGCCGAAAGGCGUAGUCGAUGGGAAACAGGUUAAUAUUCCUGUACUUGGUGUUACUGCGAAGGGGGGACGGAGAAGGCUAUGUUGGCCGGGCGACGGUUGUCCCGGUUUAAGCGUGUAGGCUGGUUUUCCAGGCAAAUCCGGAAAAUCAAGGCUGAGGCGUGAUGACGAGGCACUACGGUGCUGAAGCAACAAAUGCCCUGCUUCCAGGAAAAGCCUCUAAGCAUCAGGUAACAUCAAAUCGUACCCCAAACCGACACAGGUGGUCAGGUAGAGAAUACCAAGGCGCUUGAGAGAACUCGGGUGAAGGAACUAGGCAAAAUGGUGCCGUAACUUCGGGAGAAGGCACGCUGAUAUGUAGGUGAAGUCCCUCGCGGAUGGAGCUGAAAUCAGUCGAAGAUACCAGCUGGCUGCAACUGUUUAUUAAAAACACAGCACUGUGCAAACACGAAAGUGGACGUAUACGGUGUGACGCCUGCCCGGUGCCGGAAGGUUAAUUGAUGGGGUCAGCGCAAGCGAAGCUCUUGAUCGAAGCCCCGGUAAACGGCGGCCGUAACUAUAACGGUCCUAAGGUAGCGAAAUUCCUUGUCGGGUAAGUUCCGACCUGCACGAAUGGCGUAAUGAUGGCCAGGCUGUCUCCACCCGAGACUCAGUGAAAUUGAACUCGCUGUGAAGAUGCAGUGUACCCGCGGCAAGACGGAAAGACCCCGUGAACCUUUACUAUAGCUUGACACUGAACAUUGAGCCUUGAUGUGUAGGAUAGGUGGGAGGCUUGGAAGUGUGGACGCCAGUCUGCAUGGAGCCGACCUUGAAAUACCACCCUUUAAUGUUUGAUGUUCUAACGUGGACCCGUAAUCCGGGUUGCGGACAGUGUCUGGUGGGUAGUUUGACUGGGGCGGUCUCCUCCUAAAGAGUAACGGAGGAGCACGAAGGUUGGCUAAUCCUGGUCGGACAUCAGGAGGUUAGUGCAAUGGCAUAAGCCAGCUUGACUGCGAGCGUGACGGCGCGAGCAGGUGCGAAAGCAGGUCAUAGUGAUCCGGUGGUUCUGAAUGGAAGGGCCAUCGCUCAACGGAUAAAAGGUACUCCGGGGAUAACAGGCUGAUACCGCCCAAGAGUUCAUAUCGACGGCGGUGUUUGGCACCUCGAUGUCGGCUCAUCACAUCCUGGGGCUGAAGUAGGUCCCAAGGGUAUGGCUGUUCGCCAUUUAAAGUGGUACGCGAGCUGGGUUUAGAACGUCGUGAGACAGUUCGGUCCCUAUCUGCCGUGGGCGCUGGAGAACUGAGGGGGGCUGCUCCUAGUACGAGAGGACCGGAGUGGACGCAUCACUGGUGUUCGGGUUGUCAUGCCAAUGGCACUGCCCGGUAGCUAAAUGCGGAAGAGAUAAGUGCUGAAAGCAUCUAAGCACGAAACUUG